CGCGGGGCAACCUGGCGGCGAGCGGCGAACGGGUGAGUAAUGCAUCGGAACGUACCCAUUUGUGGGGGAUAACUAUCCGAAAGGAUAGCUAAUACCGCAUAAGUCCUGAGGGAGAAAGCAGGGGAUCGCAAGACCUUGCGCGAAUGGAGCGGCCGAUGCCGGAUUAGCUAGUUGGUAGGGUAAAGGCCUACCAAGGCGACGAUCCGUAGCGGGUCUGAGAGGAUGAUCCGCCACACUGGAACUGAGACACGGUCCAGACUCCUACGGGAGGCAGCAGUGGGGAAUUUUGGACAAUGGGCGCAAGCCUGAUCCAGCCAUUCCGCGUGAGUGAAGAAGGCCUUCGGGUUGUAAAGCUCUUUCGGCAGGAACGAAACGGUGGGGGCUAAUACCUCCUGCUAAUGACGGUACCUGAAGAAGAAGCACCGGCUAACUACGUGCCAGCAGCCGCGGUAAUACGUAGGGUGCGAGCGUUAAUCGGAAUUACUGGGCGUAAAGCGUGCGCAGGCGGUUAUGUAAGACAGAUGUG
rnacentral:rRNA from 1 species